rnacentral:rRNA from 1 species
UGAGGAAUAUUGGGCAAUGCCCGCAAGGGUGACCCAGCAACGCCGCGUGGAGGAUGAAUGUCGUAAGAUUGUAAACUCCUGUUAGAGGGGAAGAAUAGUACCGGUUGGACCGGUAUAUGACUGUACCCUCAGAGAAAGCCCCGGCUAACUACGUGCCAGCAGCCGCGGUAAUACGUAGGGGGCAAGCGUUGUCCGGAUUUACUGGGUGUAAAGGGCGCGCAGGCGGGAUAAAAAGUCAGUGGUGAAAUCCUACAGCUUAACUGUAGAACUGCCUUCGAUACUUUUAUUCUUGAGUUCGGGAGAGAGAGACGGAAUUCCAGCUGUAGUGGUGAAAUACGUAGAUAUCUGGAAGAACACCAGUUGCGAAGGCGGUCUCUUGGUCCGACACUGACGCUGAGGCGCGAAAGCGUGGGGAGCAAACA